UUAGAUACCCUGGUAGUCCACGCCGUAAACGAUGGAUACUAGGUGUGGGGGGACUGACCCCCUCCGUGCCGCAGCUAACGCAAUAAGUAUCCCACCUGGGGAGUACGAUCGCAAGGUUGAAACUCAAAGGAAUUGACGGGGGCCCGCACAAGCGGUGGAGUAUGUGGUUUAAUUCGACGCAACGCGAAGAACCUUACCAGGGCUUGACAUCCUACUAACGAACCAGAGAUGGAUUANGUGCCCUUCGGGGAAAGUAGAGACAGGUGGUGCAUGGUUGUCGUCAGCUCGUGUCGUGAGAUGUUGGGUUAAGUCCCGCAACGAGCGCAACCCCUAUUGUUAGUUGCUACGCAAGAGCACUCUAGCGAGACUGCCGUUGACAAAACGGAGGAAGGUGGGGACGACGUCAAAUCAUCAUGCCCCUUACGUCCUGNGCCACACACGUACUACAAUGGCGGCCAACAAAGAGAGGCAAAGCCGCGAAGUGGAGCAAAUCUCANAAAGCCGUCCCAGUUCGGAUCGCANGCUGCAACCCGCCUGCGUGAAGUUGGAAUCGCUAGUAAUCGCGGAUCAGCAUGCCCGCGGUGAAUACGUUUCCGGGCCUUGUACACACCGGCCCGUCACACCAUGAAAGUCGGGGAACACCCCGAAAUCCGUAACCCUAACCGCAAAGGGGGGCCCGGCCCGAAGGGGGGGUUCGAUAUUUGGGGUGAAAUUCGAACAAGGGUAGCCCAAUUCCAACCACUUCCCGGCGUUCUAAUGGAUUCCAACUCCGUACAAACUUGGCGAAUCCUGCCCUAACUGGUUCCCGGGAAAAUGUUAACCCUCAA
rnacentral:rRNA from 1 species